CGAGUGAAGCGGGAAAAGCUCAAAUUUAAAAUCUGACAAGGUCCCCUUGUCCGAAUUGUAAUUUGGAGAAGCGUUUUUAGCUCGAGCUUUUGCCCCAAGUCCUUUGGAACAAGGCAUCAUAGAGGGUGAAAAUCCCGUAUGGACUCAAGCUUUGAUGCUAUGUAAAAACGCAUUCGAAGAGUCGAGUUGUUUGGGAUUGCAGCUCAAAAUGGGUGGUAAAUUUCAUCUAAAGCUAAAUAUUAGCGAGAGACCGAUAGCGCACAAGUA
rnacentral:rRNA from 1 species